CAGCAGCCGCGGUAAUACGAAGGGGGCGAGCGUUGCUCGGAAUGACUGGGCGUAAAGGGCGCGUAGGUGGCGUGCACAGUCAGAUGUGAAAUUCCUGGGCUCAACCUGGGGGCUGCAUUUGAUACGUGCGUGCUAGAGUGUGGAAGAGGGUCGUGGAAUUCCCAGUGUAGAGGUGAAAUUCGUAGAUAUUGGGAAGAACACCGGUGGCGAAGGCGGCGACCUGGUCCAUUACUGACGCUGAGGCGCGAAAGCGUGGGGAGCAAACAGGAUUAGAUACCCGUGUAGUCCCUGUCUCUUAUAC
rnacentral:rRNA from 1 species